ensembl:lncRNA
AAGAGCAGUGACCAGGAGAGAAGUGCAAAGAGCAGGUUGCAGAGGCAAUGUCAGCUGGGAGAUGGUUUCUACAGGGAUCCUUGGGGUGGCAUCUUGGAGCUUGCUGCAGCCAAACAAGGCACAGAAAACUGGUGGACAGUUAGCAGGACUGGAGGAAAAGACCUGGCUUGCAGGACACAUGUUCUUGGCACAUACAAUUGAGACUGGAUACAAUUUCACUCAGAAAAUGAUUCUUAGUAUGAAGAGAUUUACUAGGAUUUCUAUAUGAGGAGAUCAGAUGAAAUCAGAUGGUGUAAGCUCAUGCCUCUCAGACUGGUUUCAGCAGACUUUUACCUAUCCUUUACAACAGAAUUUGGACCACAAACAAGUUUUGAAAGAAGGGCUAAUACAACAUUCACAUCCUCGCCCUCUGCCCAGCACACCUGCACAGGAGCCUGAAAGAGCUUGCUUCAAGUCCUCACCAUGAAGGUUUAUUUCCAGCUCAAGUGCCUCCCAGCUCUUCAGAGUGAAGCAGAGCUAGAUUUCACAUCCUCUCACAGCACAGGUAAGGGUAGACAAGGUUUCAGAAAACUCAGUUACACAGCUUCCAGGUGAACCUGGGUCUGGUCCAAAACCCAGUGGCUUGUCCUUCCAAGGUUUCAUAGAAUCACUGGCGAAAUACAAAGAAUGUAUUUCAUACGUUGCCAUUAGCUCUCUUGUACAUCAGAAAGGCAGGGAAUGCAACCACUCAGGAAACCUAGUGCAAACUUCAGGUAGAUUUAUGUUAGAAAUUAAUACAGUAAAUGUCUAGUCUAAUUAUUAAUAAACUCCUGGCACUGUAGUCACAAAGUCAGGGGCUGCAAAUAGUGAGAGUUCUUUUGAAACAGACUGUCACAUCAUCUCUCACCGAUUUCUGGAAAGAACUACUCUGAAAUUAAAGAAAAGUCUGGCCAAGACUGUAGCAAGAAGCAUUUUCAGGAAUUUCACGGGGCUUUUAAGCCAAGGCACUGCAAGUGUGAAAUACAGGCAGGAAUAAAGAAAUUGUGAAAGUGUAUUCUUGGUGCUAGGGAAUAGCACACAGCUAAACUGUGCAAUCCAUGCUAUUUAUUAGCUUUAUUAUUUUGCAACCCCUCCCUUCAUAUAAUGCAAGCUUAUGUCACUUAAGGCAAUGCAGCUUCUGAUUCUAUAGAACAAACUUCUAUAAAAGUCAAUUUAGCUACAAUUUUGUCCUCAGACUUUUUGUUGCCCUUGAGAAACAAACAAGUCCCUGCAGUAAGAGUAAUUCUGGUCUGUCUCCAUGGACUGCAUCAGGUAUGCAGGGAAUAGCAUGUAGAACGUGGGAUUUACAAGUUUUGAAGGAACAGGGUUAUUUGCUUUUUAUAUAUGAUAUCUAUUGCAGGCAUUAUUUCUAUUUUAAUGAGUUUUCCACUACUUGAUUGUUUCUGGAUAUUUCUACCACCUUAAGAUACAAAAGCCUGCAGAGGUACUGAAACAGGCCACAGCAGGCAAAGGUUUCUUGCAUCCCUGAAUGUAAUUUUCUGAGCACAUAAGUGAUCUCUUGGCUCUCUAGAAAAUCUGAACUCACUGAGCCUGCUCCAUCACUUUCUCCUGCCACCCAUUGUGGUCCGGCAAAUAAUAGGGAGCCUUCAGCUACCAGCCAGGCCAGAGAGCCUCUCUUUGGGGCCUCACUAAAAGAAGAUAAAAAUGUUUAAGUGAGCAGCAAAGGCCCUAAAGCACAAAGAUGAAUCUAAGCAUGAACUGAACAGCUUUGCUGAACCAAUACCUUCCACAGGAUGUGCAUUUAGGUACACAAUAAGGUAUACCAGAAGCAUAGCCUCAAGGAGUAAGGCUAACAUUCAAAGCUCAAUGAAAUUUGUAAGUUUUUCCAUUAGUUUGCAGACUAACUAGUAUUGUUGGAUUGGAUCCUAGCAUAAAAUGGUUUAACAGUUUAAUUAAAGCUAAACACUAUUUGUUUAUUCUGCAAAAGCUCACUAGUGGGCAGGACCGAAGUAUCAAUAAAAAUGCUAGGGAAUUCUUUCCCACAUUCGCAUGCCCUAAUAACACCCAUUAAUUUCAAUAAGUAAUCAUUUGAGACCAAAGAGUAGUUACACUUCUAGUUUUCAAUUAGGCAAUUUGAAAUUUUCUUCACUAGGUGUCAGAAUAAUUUGUUUUACACAAAAGCCUGAGAGGUAGGAUUGAAGAUAGACUUGUUCACUCUGUAAAUGAUGGGGUUUCAUUUUCUAAAUUUCUAAACCAAUCUGCUUUUUGCAAAACCAUUUACAAUUGACUAUUAAUUUGCAUACUCAAAAAAGCUAUUAAUGAAAGCAAUGUAAUUUCUUCUUCUCCAGCAUCCUAUGUGAGUGCCUAAUUCAGUGUUUUGAAUAAACUGAAUGUUGGGGUGAUUUAUGAAUACAGAGAGUACAUUUUCUUUUUUUUUUUUUUUUACUUAGCUACCGUUAAACUGAGUUUACUACCAAUGAAUUUAAAUAAAAAUGACAACAGCUGUAUUUAAAUUUUA